UGGCAGUCAGAGGCGAUGAAGGACGUGCUAAUCUGCGAUAAGCGUCGGUAAGGUGAUAUGAACCGUUAUAACCGGCGAUUUCCGAAUGGGGAAACCCAGUGUGAUUCGUCACACUAUCAUUAACUGAAUCCAUAGGUUAAUGAGGCGAACCGGGGGAACUGAAACAUCUAAGUACCCCGAGGAAAAGAAAUCAACCGAGAUUCCCCCAGUAGCGGCGAGCGAACGGGGAGCAGCCCAGAGCCUGAAUCAGUGUGUGUGUUAGUGGAAGCGUCUGGAAAGGCGUGCGAUACAGGGUGACAGCCCCGUACACAAAAAUGCACAUACUGUGAGCUCGAUGAGUAGGGCGGGACACGUGGUAUCCUGUCUGAAUAUGGGGGGACCAUCCUCCAAGGCUAAAUACUCCUGACUGACCGAUAGUGAACCAGUACCGUGAGGGAAAGGCGAAAAGAACCCCGGCGAGGGGAGUGAAAAAGAACCUGAAACCGUGUACGUACAAGCAGUGGGAGCACGCUUAGGCGUGUGACUGCGUACCUUUUGUAUAAUGGGUCAGCGACUUAUAUUCUGUAGCAAGGUUAACCGAAUAGGGGAGCCGAAGGGAAACCGAGUCUUAACUGGGCGUUAAGUUGCAGGGUAUAGACCCGAAACCCGGUGAUCUAGCCAUGGGCAGGUUGAAGGUUGGGUAACACUAACUGGAGGACCGAACCGACUAAUGUUGAAAAAUUAGCGGAUGACUUGUGGCUGGGGGUGAAAGGCCAAUCAAACCGGGAGAUAGCUGGUUCUCCCCGAAAGCUAUUUAGGUAGCGCCUCGUGAAUUCAUCUCCGGGGGUAGAGCACUGUUUCGGCAAGGGGGUCAUCCCGACUUACCAACCCGAUGCAAACUGCGAAUACCGGAGAAUGUUAUCACGGGAGACACACGGCGGGUGCUAACGUCCGUCGUGAAGAGGGAAACAACCCAGACCGCCAGCUAAGGUCCCAAAGUCAUGGUUAAGUGGGAAACGAUGUGGGAAGGCCCAGACAGCCAGGAUGUUGGCUUAGAAGCAGCCAUCAUUUAAAGAAAGCGUAAUAGCUCACUGGUCGAGUCGGCCUGCGCGGAAGAUGUAACGGGGCUAAACCAUGCACCGAAGCUGCGGCAGCGACGCUUAUGCGUUGUUGGGUAGGGGAGCGUUCUGUAAGCCUGUGAAGGUGUGCUGUGAGGUAUGCUGGAGGUAUCAGAAGUGCGAAUGCUGACAUAAGUAACGAUAAAGCGGGUGAAAAGCCCGCUCGCCGGAAGACCAAGGGUUCCUGUCCAACGUUAAUCGGGGCAGGGUGAGUCGACCCCUAAGGCGAGGCCGAAAGGCGUAGUCGAUGGGAAACAGGUUAAUAUUCCUGUACUUGGUGUUACUGCGAAGGGGGGACGGAGAAGGCUAUGUUGGCCGGGCGACGGUUGUCCCGGUUUAAGCGUGUAGGCUGGUUUUCCAGGCAAAUCCGGAAAAUCAAGGCCGAGGCGUGAUGACGAGGCACUACGGUGCUGAAGCAACAAAUGCCCUGCUUCCAGGAAAAGCCUCUAAGCAUCAGGUAACAUCAAAUCGUACCCCAAACCGACACAGGUGGUCAGGUAGAGAAUACCAAGGCGCUUGAGAGAACUCGGGUGAAGGAACUAGGCAAAAUGGUGCCGUAACUUCGGGAGAAGGCACGCUGAUACGUAGGUGAAGCGACUUGCUCGUGGAGCUGAAAUCAGUCGAAGAUACCAGCUGGCUGCAACUGUUUAUUAAAAACACAGCACUGUGCAAACACGAAAGUGGACGUAUACGGUGUGACGCCUGCCCGGUGCCGGAAGGUUAAUUGAUGGGGUUAGCGCAAGCGAAGCUCUUGAUCGAAGCCCCGGUAAACGGCGGCCGUAACUAUAACGGUCCUAAGGUAGCGAAAUUCCUUGUCGGGUAAGUUCCGACCUGCACGAAUGGCGUAAUGAUGGCCAGGCUGUCUCCACCCGAGACUCAGUGAAAUUGAAC
rnacentral:rRNA from 1 species